rfam:Ferroglobus placidus DSM 10642, complete genome.
CUCUUCCGGCGGUUAUCCCGGCCGGUGGAUGGCUCGGCUCGGGCGCCGACGAAGGGCGUGCCAAGCUGCGAAAAGCCCGGGGGAGGCGCAAGGAGCCGUAGAACCCGGGAUCCCCGAAUGGGCAAUCCUGCCCCUUCGGGGGCGCUCCCGUAUGGGAGCGGGAACGCGGGGAAAGGAAACAUCCGAGUACCCGCAGGAAAAGAAAGCAAACGCGAUGCCGUGAGUAGGGGCGACCGAAAGCGGCACAGCCCAAACCGAACACCCUCCCGUAAGGGAGGGUGGAUGUGGUGUUGCAGGACCCCGCCUAAUGCCAGCGGGUGAAGCCGAAGUCCGCUGGAACGCGGCGCCGUAGAGGGUGAGAGCCCCGUAGGCGUAAGCCCGCUGGUUACAAGGUGGGGUAUCCUGAGUACCGCGGGUUGGAAUUCUCGCGGGAAGCUGGGGGUCAUCAACCCCCAAGGCUAAAUACGUCCCGAGUCCGAUAGCGCACUAGUAGGGUGACCGAAAGCUGAAAAGCACCCCGAGAAGGGGGGUGAAAAGAGCCUGAAACCGGCCGGGGAUAGUGUGCGGCGGCUCGAAAGGGUAAUCCCGGCGAAGGAAAGCGCCGCGAGGCGCGAGUACGAGCCGGGAUACCGGAGUCGCCGCGUACGUUUUGAAAAACGGGCCAGGGAGUGUACGGCAGUGGCGAGGCUAAGGGGUGAAACCCCGUAGCCGGAGGGAAACCGACUGCCCGCAGCCCGUAAGGGCGAGGGGCGGGGUGUGCUCGCCCGAAGUCACUGCCGUACGACCCGAAGCCGGGCGAUCUAGGCGGGGGCAGGGUGAAGCGGCUCGAAAGAGCCGUGGAGGCCCGCAGGGGUGUUGAUGUGCAAAUCGCUCCUCUGACCCCCGUCUAGGGGUGAAAGUCCAAUCGAGCCCGGGGAUAGCUGGUUCCCCCCGAAACAUACCGCAGUAUGACCCGCCCGGAGGUAGGCGGUGGGGUAGAGCACUGAUUGGGGGAGCCGGGGGGUGAAACCCUCGCCCCCCUGUCAAACUCCGAAUCCACCGCUGCCGUAGAUGGGCGGCAGUCAGGGCACGGGGGUAAGCUCCGUGUCCGAGAGGGGGACAACCCAGACCGGGGUUAAGGCCCCUAAGUGCCGGCUAAGUGUUAACCCAAAGGAGGUCCCGGGUCGAAGACAGCGGGGAGGUAGGCUUAGAAGCAGCCAUCCUCUAAGGAGUGCGUAACAGCUCACCCGCCGAGACUCGGGGCGCCGAAAAUGGACGGGGCUCAAGCCGGCCGCCGAUACCCCGGGGCCCCGAAAGGGGAUCCGGUAGGGGGGCGUGCCGAUGGCGCAGAAGCCCGAGGCGUAAGCUCGGGUGGAGCCGUCGGCAACGAGAAUCCUGGCGGUAGUAGCAGCGUAGUCGGGUGAGAAUCCCGACCGCCGGAAGGGCAAGGGUUCCACGGCAAUGUUCGUCAGCCGUGGGUUAGUCGGCCCUAACCCCGCUCGUAACUCGACGCGGGGGAAAAGGGAAGCGGGUUAAUAUUCCCGCACCGCCCGUCCGGCCUCCCCGCAAGGGGAGGUUGCGGCUUAUGCCGCCCCGACGCCUCGGGAUAGGCCGAGCCGGAGCUGCCAGCCGGUCCAAGCGCCGAAGCCCCCGGAGGUCCGUAAUGGAGAGAAGGGGGUGAAGGCGUGAUGGCGUAAGUCGGCCGACUCCUGGGGCCCGUGAAAAGGGGGACGGGAGGGCCGUACCGAGAACCGACACAGGUGCCCUGGGUUAGUAGCCUAAGGCGUGGCGGAACACUCCGGCCGAGGGAAAUCGGCAAAUUAGCCCCGUAUCUUCGGUAGAAGGGGUGCCUGCGGUCUUCUCCUCAGGAGGGGACCGCAGGUCGCAGUGCCUAGGGGGGGGCGACUGUUUACUAAAAACACAGGGGGCUGCAACCCCGUAAGGGUUAGUACAGCCCCUGAGUCCUGCCCAGUGCGGGUACCUGAAAGCCGGGUACAACCGGCCGAAGGGCCCGUAAACGGCGGGGGUAACUAUGACCCUCUUAAGGUAGCGUAAUACCUUGCCGCUUAAUUGGCGGCUUGCAUGAACGGAUUAACGACCCCCCCGCUGUCCUCGGCCGGAAGCCGGCGAACCCGACAUCCCAGUGAACAGUCUGGGGACCCCCGUUGGGAAGCGAAGACCCUGUGGAGCUUUACUGCAGCCUGCCGUUGCCUCACAGCUGGGGGUGCGCAGGGUAGGCGGGAGGCUUCGAAGCCCGGUCUCCGGGCCGGGUGGAGCCGUCGAUGAGACACCGCCCACCUCCAGCUGUGGGGCUAACCCGCUCUGCGGGGACAUCGGUAGGUGGGCAGUUUGGGUGGGGCGCCACUCCCCCGAAAAGGUAUCGGGGGAGCCCAAAGGUCGGCUCAGGCGGGUCAGAACUCCGCCGUAGAGUGCAAGGGCAAAAGCCGGCCUGAUGUGACCCCGCAUAAUAAGGGGUCACGAGCCGAAAGGCGGGCCUAGCGAACCACCCUGGCCUUUUGGUGAGGCCGGGUGACGACAGAAAAGCUACCCCAGGGAUAACAGAGUUGUCCCCGGCGAGAGUUCAUAUCGACCCGGGGGCUUGCUACUUCGAUGUCGGCUCUCCCCAUCCUGGCCGUGCAGCAGCGGCCAAGGGUGAGGUUGUUCGCCUAUUAAAGGGGAUCGUGAGCUGGGUUUAGACCGUCGUGAGACAGGUCGGUUGCUAUCUAACGGGGGUGUCUGGGCGGCUGAGGGGAAGGAGGCUCUAGUACGAGAGGAACGAGCCUCCGGCGCCUCUGGUCCACCGGUUGUCCGGCAGGGCAUCGCCGGGCAGCUACGCGCCACGCGGUUAAAGGCUGAAAGCAUCUAAGCCUGAAACCGCCCCCGAAAAGAGCCGCCCAUAAGGGCGCGGGUAGAAGACCCGCUUGAUAGGGCCGGGGUGUAAGCGGCGAGCCUUCGGGCGAGCCGUUCAGCCCGCGGCCACUAACGCCCGUCGCCGGGGAGC